UACGAAGGGGCUAGCGUUGCUCGGAAUCACUGGGCGUAAAGGGUGCGUAGGCGGGUCUUUAAGUCAGGGGUGAAAUCCUGGAGCUCAACUCCAGAACUGCCUUUGAUACUGAGGAUCUUGAGUUCGGGAGAGGUGAGUGGAACUGCGAGUGUAGAGGUGAAAUUCGUAGAUAUUCGCAAGAACACCAGUGGCGAAGGCGGCUCACUGGCCCGAUACUGACGCUGAGGCACGAAAGCGUGGGGAGCAAACAGGG
rnacentral:rRNA from 1 species